GUUUAAACAUAAAGUUUUGAAUAAUACCAUAACCUGCUCUAAAGAAAUACUACCUACAAAACAUUUUGAAAUGAAAACCAUAUUUGUUAAUAAUAACAUCUUUCUGAAAACAAUAACUAGAAGUACAUUUUGGCUUCUCUGCAAAUUGAAAUUUUACAGGAACUUGAUGAAGGCAUCUGGAUAAAGUGAAGCCAAUAAAAUCCCUUAUAAAUCAGAUUAUACGUCAGCAUCCAGUAACAUUGUGGGAGGACAUGCGUACAUCAGGAAGUGAUCAAUGAUGGAAGGCUCUGAUAGACACAAGACUAUAUUUUUGAGAGAUGUAACUAUCUGGGGACUUCUGUCUCGGCUGACGCGUUUUAUACCCCACCUACUCUAGACUAUAAAAUUAUAGUAGAGUAGGGUCCUCUUCAACUUAUUGUUCCUGUAAGUUUUUGUAAUUGUCUCAUUUAUUGUUAAAUCUCCC